rnacentral:rRNA from 1 species
UACGUAGGGUGCGAGCGUUGUCCGGAAUUACUGGGCGUAAAGAGCUCGUAGGUGGUUUGUCGCGUUGUUCGUGAAAUCUCACGGCUUAACUGUGAGCGUGCGGGCGAUACGGGCAGACUAGAGUACUGCAGGGGAGACUGGAAUUCCUGGUGUAGCGGUGGAAUGCGCAGAUAUCAGGAGGAACACCGGUGGCGAAGGCGGCUCGCUGGGACGUAACUGACGCUGAGACGCGAAAGCGUGGGGAGCAAACAGG